rnacentral:snoRNA from 1 species
GUUUAAUAUGAUGUUACAAUUAUCACGACGGUCAACGUAGCCAUGUUGCAUUGACGAUAUCGCCCAUGACAGGGCACUUGUCUGAAA